GUGCCAUAGCGUCAACAUCUCUACCAGAGAGCACUUUGAAUCGAAAAGCCAGAUUUGUUUUUGAUAAGUUCGGAUUUGAAAAGUGAAUGGUGCUCGGAAACUACUGCCACGGGACACACAUAGUUGUCUCCACCAAGUACUAUAUUUCGCAUCAUCUAAAAGAAAAAAAAAAUGAAGCUCUGAGCACCCAUACAGAUGUCAAAAAUCUGACUUUAAAGAAUGCUCUCACUCAAGAUCAUUGCCUGCUUUGCUGCCUUAACAGCUUCGGGCGUGAGGGUUCUGAACGUCGAGUCCAACUUGGAUCAGCUGACUCCCGGGUGGCUGCCUGGGCCGGGCGAUGGGGCGGGCGCGGUGCUCAAGCGGCCGCGGUUUCCUCUCGCCUCCGACUACACAGCCUGCUUCAGGUUUCAGUUUGCCAAACUCAAGAAGGAUUAACAUAUUAUUCAGGGUGUCGA